rnacentral:rRNA from 1 species
GACGAACCGUGCGAACGUUAUUCGGAAUCACUGGGCUUAAAGCGCGUGUAGGCGGGCCGCCGCGUCGGCUGCUGAAAUCCCCCGGCUCAACCGGGGAACGGGCACCGAUACGGGCGGCCUCGAGGGGGGUAGGGGGACUGGAACUUCCGGUGGAGCGGUGAAAUGCGUUGAGAUCGGAAGGAACGCCCGUGGCGAAAGCGAGUCCCUGGACCCUUUCUGACGCUGAGACGCGAAAGCCAGGGGAGCGAACGGG